CGGGGCGCUGCGGCCGCGGCUGCAGCUCCUCCUGUCGCACCAUUUGGCUGUCACUGCGUCGCAAAAGCGGCCUCACUUGGCGGCUGCCAGGACACGUGAUGGCCGCGGCCGCUACCUCCCGCCGGCAGGGGUCUCAUGCAUUAAUUUGACAGACAUUUAUUGAAGGUUUCUAGUUCUGUGACCAUGCUUUCAGAACUUCAACUCAUGAUAGAUGAUAAAGAAAUUUUAUGAAAUAUUUUAGGUUAACUAUCAGCUUGGCAUUUCCUGUCCCUAAGAAACAGGUAAGCUUGCCUUGAAUGCCCAGUUUCACAGCCUCUAAAAUCAAGAGCUUCUGCUUCUCAUCCAAUUUUUGAGACUCUGGCAGGUUAUUUACAGAAGGCUGCCUGCUUUUCUCUCCCUCCACAAACACACAACACUUCCUCACUGCCUUUGUUCCUUGGUUCCACCGAUAUUGAUAUGGACCUGAAGCUCAACUUCACAGUUACCCCUAAUACCAAGUUCUCAAGCAUUUAUGAAUUCAUUAACUUGGUACCAAAGAUUUAAGAGGGGUCACGCUAUAGGAUGUGAUACCUUUUACCCUGAAUCUGGGUCCACCUCUCUUUUUCUACCCUCAAUAGAUUAACAAGAAAAUUUUACUCAUUUCUCAGACUGUUACAGUUUGAUCAUACUCAAGUUCUUCUGAUUUUCAACUGUUGUUUCAAGUAAGAUUAUUUGGGAAUUUCUUCUAAAAAUAUCAAUGUUGUCAUGAAAGGGAUACCAGAAAAUACCAUUUUCUUAGCUUGGUAUGUAGCCAUCAAAUGAAUUGUAACAUUUUGAAUUUUAUGUAUUUGUAGUCAAGAAAAAGAUAGUAUGUUUUAACCACCAUUGAGACACUAAACUUUUUAUUCUAACACUCAGUAUCCCUUUAUAUCCUUAAAAUUAUAGAAGACACCAAAGAGCUUUUGUUUAUGUGGGUUAUAUCUUCUGAUAUGUACUGUAUUAGAGCUAAAACUGAAGAAUUUUUUAGAACAAAAGAAUAUACAAGCUCACAUUUCAUUAGCCUUCAGAGUGAGAACUUCAUGCCAUGUCACACCUCUGAAAAUCUCUACACCUGUGGGAAAAUAAGAGUGGAAAAGGCAAGCAGCAUCUUAAUAUUAUUAUGAAAAUAGAUUUGACCUUGCAGACCCCCUGAACCAUACUUUGAGUACUGCUGUUCUAACCUAUAAGACUACCUCUGAUGAUUCUGAAUUAGUAAAGUUUCUCUACAUGUGAAUAUGGGAAUGUGAUCUCUGUACUUCCAGAGUUUAAGAUCUCCUACCAUGUCAAAAGAAUUAUAAGCUUCUGAGCUUUUCAAGUGAAUUAUUGGUGUGGAACAUGAGAAAUUUUGGUUGUCCUUGUCAAAAUGAAAAAAGGAAUGUAUGCAUAAAAAUGUUUAUAUAAAGCAUGAACCUUUUACUACUAGUGCUUCCUUUAUCAGAAAACUAUUGGAACUGUAAAAUGCAAUAAAAAUCAGUAGGCACAAAAAACUUAAAAUCCAUUAUACCAAACAUUUUAAAAGGUUUGUGUA